rnacentral:rRNA from 1 species
GGAAGGUGGGGAUGACGUCAAGUCAUCAUGGCCCUUACGAGUAGGGCUACACACGUGCUACAAUGGCAUAUACAAAGAGAAGCGACCUCGCGAGAGCAAGCGGACCUCAUAAAGUAUGUCGUAGUCCGGAUUGGAGUCUGCAACUCGACUCCAUGAAGUCGGAAUCGCUAGUAAUCGUAGAUCAGAAUGCUACGGUGAAUACGUUCCCGGGCCUUG